ACACUGUCUGAAAGCGUGCAGUCUGAGUUGAUUGAAUGCAAUCAGUUAAAACUUUCAACAAUGGAUCUCUUGGUUCCGGCAUCGAUGAAGAACGCAGCGAAAUGCGAUAACUAAUGUGAAUUGCAGAAUUCAGUGAAUCAUCGAGUCUUUGAACGCACAUUGCGCCCCCUGGUAUUCCGGGGGGCAUGCCUGUCCGAGCGUCAUUGCUGCCCUCAAGCCCGGCUUGUGUGUUGGGUCGCCGUCCCCCUCUCCGGGGGGACGGGCCCGAAAGGCAGCGGCGGCACCGCGUCCGAUCCUCGAGCGUAUGGGGCUUUGUCACAUGCUCUGUAGGAUUGGCCGGCGCCUGCCGACGUUUUCCAACCAUUUUUUCCAGGUUGACCUCGGAUCAGGUAGGGAUACCCGCUGAACUUAAGCAUAUCAAUAAGCGGAGGAAAAGAAACCAACCGGGAUUGCCUCAGUAACGGCGAGUGAAGCGGCAAGAGCUCAAAUUUGAAAGCUGGCUCCUUCGGAGUCCGCAUUGUAAUUUGCAGAGGAUGCUUUGGGUGCGGCCCCCGUCUAAGUGCCCUGGAACGGGCCGUCAGAGAGGGUGAGAAUCCCGUCUUGGGCGGGGUGUCCGUGCCCGUGUAAAGCUCCUUCGACGAGUCGAGUUGUUUGGGAAUGCAGCUCUAAAUGGGUGGUAAAUUUCAUCUAAAGCUAAAUACUGGCCGGAGACCGAUAGCGCACAAGUAGAGUGAUCGAAAGAUGAAAAGCACUUUGAAAAGAGAGUUAAACAGCACGUGAAAUUGUUGAAAGGGAAGCGCUUGCGACCAGACUCGCCCGCGGGGUUCAGCCGGCAUUCGUGCCGGUGUACUUCCCCGUGGGCGGGCCAGCGUCGGUUUGGGCGGCCGGUCAAAGGCCCCUGGAAUGUAGUACCCUCCGGGGUACCUUAUAGCCAGGGGUGCAAUGCGGCCAGCCUGGACCGAGGAACGCGCUUCGGCACGGACGCUGCAUAGCGAAUGG
rnacentral:rRNA from 1 species